UGUCACUAUGACGAUGACGUAAACAAGAAAAUACCUAGCAAAAGGAUUUUCUGUUUUCACGAAGUGACGGCCAAGUACGUGCUUAACAGCCGUCAAUUCGUGAAAACAUCGUUUGCUCUUUUCCUGCUUUUAAUGUUUUCACGAAGUGACGGUAGUGAAAAUUUCGCAGUUUGGAACAGUCACAGACCAUUAAAAGUUUCAGAUGCAGUAGAUACAAUUUUCACUUGUAUGAAGGAAGCACUGGGAAAGUACAUCUACUUUUCAAGAAUGCCACAGGCCAGAAAAAAAUCCAGAUUGGAUACGGGACCGACAUGCUGGUAAGAUAGGUCCUUGAUAAUUCACUGAACACAGAGCUGCAGAAUGUGACUUGGCAUAGUGACCUAAGAGUGGGAGCGGUAUGGAACCGUUGAAGCAAUUCACCGAACACGUACAGUCAGAGCUGCAUGUGUGACUUGGCAUGGUGACCCUUAAAGUCUCCUGACGGCUCCGAUUGCGAUUCUGAUGAUGACCCAUUGUCUAUGCUUCUGAGCGAGUCAAAAGUCUAGAUAAAGGAUCUUCGCUGCUUCAACCACUAUUGCUUGGGU
rnacentral:lncRNA from 1 species